rnacentral:tRNA from 1 species
AUUUAAAUAGCUUAAAUUUAAAGUAUAAUAUUGAAGAUAUUAUGAUGGAUUGAUUUAUCCUUUAAAUA